rfam:Schistosoma margrebowiei strain Zambia genome assembly, scaffold: SMRZ_contig0004765
AAUGCGGUUUUUUUUAAAACCAUCUAUUUGUUUAAGUAAUGUCUAU